rnacentral:lncRNA from 1 species
UAUUAUCCAAUUUUUAAAAUUAUUUAAUUUUAAUCAAUAGGCAAUAUUUUGACUUUAAAAUUUAAAUAAAUUACUUAUAUUAAUAAAUUUACAGUUGUAAGAAUCUUAUAAAAUAUACUAAUUAAAUUUGUAAAGAUAAAUGAUGCAUUCGCAUUUUAAAGUUAAAAUAAAAUAAGUUAUUUUUAAAUUAUUCAAAUCAAAUAAAUUGAAAGAUUAGAUUGUAAAAUUUAAAUUCUAAAAAGUUGGAUUGUCAAAACAAAAUGAUUUAUAGU